rnacentral:rRNA from 1 species
GACGAACGCUGGCGGCGUGCCUAAUACAUGCAAGUUGAGCGAUGAAGAUUGGUGCUUGCACCCAUUUGAAGAGCAGCGAACGGGUGAGUAACGCGUGGGGAAUCUGCCUUUGAGCGGGGGACAACAUUUGGAAACGAAUGCUAAUACCGCAUAAUAACUUUAAACAUAAGUUUUAAGUUUGAAAGAUGCAAUUGCAUCACUCAAAGAUGAUCCCGCGUUGUAUUAGCUAGUUGGUGAGGUAAAGGCUCACCAAGGCGAUGAUACAUAGCCGACCUGAGAGGGUGAUCGGCCACAUUGGGACUGAGACACGGCCCAAACUCCUACGGGAGGCAGCAGUAGGGAAUCUUCGGCAAUGGACGAAAGGCUGACCGAGCAACGCCGCGUGAGUGAAGAAGGGUUUCGGAUCGUAAAACUCUGUUGGUAGAGAAGAACGUUGGUGAGAGUGGAAAGCUCAUCAAGUGACGGUAACUACCCAGAAAGGGACGGCUAACUACGUG